GGGUAGCUCAGUGGUAGAGCAGCGCCUUCAUAAGGCGUGGGUCGUGGGUUCGCCCUGCACCAGAGCGAAGCACGAUGCAGGGCGCCCCGUACCGUGCCCCGCGAAUGCGGGACUCUGGUACUGGGGCGAAUCCCUAUCCUAAUUAUCCUCCA
rnacentral:tRNA from 1 species